rnacentral:rRNA from 1 species
UACGGAGGGUGUGAGCGUUGUCCGGAAUCAUUGGGCGUAAAGGGCGCGUAGGUGGCCCGGUCAGUUCGUGGUGAAAGCGCGGGGCUCAACCCUGCGUCGGCCAUGAAUACUGCCGCGGCUGGAGCACUGUAGAGGCAGGCGGAAUUCCGGGUGUAGCGGUGGAAUGCGUAGAGAUCCGGAAGAACACCGGUGGCGAAGGCGGCCUGCUGGGCAGUUGCUGACACUGAGGCGCGACAGCGUGGGGAGCAAACAGG